UUUUGUCGCGAAAAGAAGCAUGCUUGAUGACAACAAAGAAUCAUCGCAAACGACUUUGAGAUCUAGGGAUGAUAGUUUUUUUGUUGUCAUGAAAACUUUUAGCCACGAAGAUAUGCAUAAAACCUAAAAAUCAUUACCAAUAUUUUUAGCGACGAGAUCAACUUCAGUCAUGACAAGGAGCAUGUAUUUUGUAGUAAUAAUACCCAUUUAAAAGCUAGAGCACAUAGCAUAUGGAUUUCUUGAAAAAGAA
rnacentral:lncRNA from 1 species